UGGGUCGAUGCCCUAGUGGUCAAAGGGGACGGACUGUAAAUUCGUUGGCAAUAUGUCUACGCUGGUUCAAAUCCAGCUCGGCCCAA
rnacentral:tRNA from 1 species